UCCGGUUUGUCACCGGCAGUCUCGCAUGAGUCCCCAACUAAAUGCUGGCAACAUGCGACGGGGGUUGCGCUCGUUGCGGGACUUAACCCAACAUCUCACGACACCGAAUCUCUCCGGCUUUUCCCUGCAUGUCAAACCUUGGUAAGGUUCUUCGCGUUGCGUCGAAUUAAGCAACAUGCUCCGCCGCUUGUGCGGGCCCCCGUCAAUUCCUUUGAGUUUUAGCCUUGCGGCCGUACUCCCCAGGCGGGGAACUUAAUGCGUUAGCUGCGGCACCGACGACGUGGAAUGUCGCCAACACCUAGUUCCCACCGUUUACGGCGUGGACUAC
rnacentral:misc_RNA from 1 species